UACGUAGGUGGCAAGCGUUGUCCGGAUUUACUGGGCGUAAAGAGCGCGCAGGCGGUCGUCCAAGUCGCGUGUGAAAGCCCCCGGCUCAACUGGGGAGGGUCACGCGAUACUGAUCGACUGGAAGGCAGGAGAGGGUAGUGGAAUUCCCGGUGUAGUGGUGAAAUGCGUAGAUAUCGGGAGGAACACCAGUGGCGAAGGCGACUACCUGGCCUGUUCUUGACGCUGAGGCGCGAAAGCUAGGGGAGCAAACGGGG
rnacentral:rRNA from 1 species